CUACGGGCGGCACCAGUCGCGAAAACUUUACAAUGCACGAAAGUGUGAUAAGGGAACCCGAAGUGCUUACACAUUGUGUAGGCUUUUGCCAAUGGUAAAUACAUUGGCGAAUAAGUGGUGGGUAAGACUGGUGCCAGCACGCCGCGGUAAGCACCAGCGCCACAAGUGGGAACCACGUUUAUUGGGCUUAAAGCGUCCGUAGCUGGUUUGGUUAAUUCUUUGUGAAAUCGUUGUCCUUAAAGCAACGACGCGCAGAGAACACUACCAGACUAGGAACCGGGAGGGGUCAGGAGUAUGCUUUGGGGAGCGGUAAAAUGCUAUAAUCCUUAGUAGACUACCUUUGGCGAAGGCGCCUGACUAGAACGGAUUCGACAGUGAGGGACGAAAGCUAGGGGAGCGAUCCGGAUUAGAUACCCCCGUAGUC
rnacentral:rRNA from 1 species